ACCCUGGAUAGUCCUGAGGAGACUUGUCUCAGGAUUCCAGGGAUGAGGAACAACAGGCAAACAUGAAUGAAAGAUGUGGUCUUAAGAAGAGGAAGAAUGUUGAGUCUUUGGCCUCUGUAUGUCGUCGGUCCUGGGGCUUGAACUCUGGGGCCUGGGUGCUGUCCCUCAGUGCUUCAGCUCAAGGCAUUUAGUCACUGUGGCAGAAAGCUGACACAAAGACCAACGGGAAGAGCAGAUGUGAGCUUGCAUUCAUAUCAAUGGAUGGACCAGAUCUGCUCACUGGGAGCAGUAGGUGGAGGUGACAACUAAAGAAGAAGGCAAUCUUGUCCUCCAGGCCACGAGGAAAGGAAGGUGAGGACAGAAGCACUUGAACCAGAGGGAGGCAUAGUGAGGUUCAAUGGUAGGAAACUGGAUCUCAAACCACCAAACGCCUGGAAUCUUUAUCUCUACUCAUUUCAACCUGCCCUUCAUUCUUCAAUCCAGCAGUGGUCAAGCACUUGUCUAAGCCAAGUAGCUGCUGAGCAGCAAAACUG